rnacentral:rRNA from 1 species
UACAGAGGGUGCGAGCGUUGUCCGGAAUCACUGGGCGUAAAGGGCGCGUAGGUGGCUCGUUAAGCGUGUGGUGAAAGCCUGGGGCUCAACCCCAGGUCUGCCGUGCGAACUGGCGAGCUUGAGCAGAGUAGAGGCGGGUGGAAUUUCGGGUGUAGCGGUGGAAUGCGUAGAUAUCCGAAAGAACACCAGUGGCGAAGGCGGCUCACUGGCUCGAUACUGACGCUGAGGUGCGAAAGCGUGGGGAGCAAACAGG